rnacentral:rRNA from 1 species
UACGUAGGGUGCAAGCGUUGUCCGGAAUUAUUGGGCGUAAAGAGCUCGUAGGCGGUCUGUCGCGUCGGCUGUGAAAACCCGGGGCUCAACCCCGGGCCUGCAGUCGAUACGGGCAGACUAGAGUGCGGUAGGGGAGACUGGAAUUCCUGGUGUAGCGGUGAAAUGCGCAGAUAUCAGGAGGAACACCGGUGGCGAAGGCGGGUCUCUGGGCCGUAACUGACGCUGGAGGAGCGAAAGCCGUGGGGAGCGAACAGG